rnacentral:RNase_P_RNA from 1 species
AGAGGAAGCUCUCCUUAGAGGCCACGUGCUGGGUGUCCAUCACCCUUCAUCCCGCCUCUGGGAAGGUCUGAGAGAAGGGCCAAGUUUGUCACCCUAGCAGGGUGCCACCUUCUGAAGGUGGGUGAGUUCCCAGCAAUACACCCAGACAGAAAAAGACAUUCACAUAGAAUUUGGCCCGAAGUGGGAAACAAAAUAAGUAGCAUUAAAACUCCCGUGUUGUCCUAUAAGCAUUGGAAUCCCGGAGAACUCAUCGCUUUGAUCCUAACAGCUUAACAGUAUUAACUUACAAGCGAAUGGCAGUUUAAAUUUGAAAAGUUUCUUUUAAAGGGGAGGAAUUAAAAAAAAACACUGAGCCCGGGGAGACAUUAUCUUAUUUUUUGCAGGGAACAAAGUUGCAUAUCACUAUUAAGACUGCACUCUUUUCU